CUCAUCCUCGAGCCCCACUACUCAGAGGAGCUGGGAAGAAUUUCCACCCUUCCUAGUGGCAAGUCUCACUGUGAGAGCGGAGUGCCACCAGGCAAACAGGGCAGAAAGACUGCUUUAAGGAGAAUCCUUAUAUUGGGGGUUAUGAAGUGCAAUACACCCUCAUCCUCACGCUAACACUGGUACCAUGUAGCCCAAGCUUGUCUAACCUGCAGCCCGCGGGCUGUGUAUGGCCCAGGACAGCUCUGAAUGUGGCCCAACGCAAAUUUGUAAACUUUCUAAAACAUUAUGAGAUUUUUUUUUCUCAUCAGCUAUCAUCAGUGUGAGUGUAUGUUAUUUGUGACUCAAGACAAUCCUUCUUUUCCAAUGUGGCCCAGAGAAGCCAAAAGACUGGACACCCCUGAUGUGGCCCUUUCAUCCAUAGUAGCCUAUUUUGUCCUAAAGACGGUCUUGUGCAGUGAGUAGGCCAGGCCUCCCCACUACCACAGUUUACAGGCAAGGAAUGUGAUAUUUCAUAGGAUGACCCUGACUGGCACCUACAUUGCUAGCCAAAGAAUGGCACAAAGAUGUGGACAGAAGAGACAACCUUAAGCAGCUGACUGCUGGCUCCUGCAACAGUAUCAUCAUGGCAUUUGUCCUGGGGUCCCAAGGAAAGAAAACAAAUCUGUGGCUGAGGAACAGACUGAGUUGACAAAGCAGCUUCCACAGUAACACAAGGACAAAGGGUGUAUGUAGAUAUGCACGUGGUAGCAGGUUCUACUAAAGGAACCUGGACCGACCAUUCUCACUCACAUUCUUUGGGAGCUGUAUUCUAAUACUUUCAGAAAAGCCAUGGGAACACACCAGAGUGACUGCUCGAGUAAAUAAGUAGCAUAAACAGCAAGCCAAACCAUUGAUGUACACAUCACUGGGCCCAAUACUAUGAAAUCCCACAUAAGAAACUUGAAAGUGAAAGCUGGAAUUCUGAGGAUACUGGUUUUGCUUAAUAAACAGCAUUUCAACAGGUGAGUCAACUUAGUA
rnacentral:lncRNA from 1 species